rfam:Myotis lucifugus cont2.29962, whole genome shotgun sequence.
GCCGGUUUGGCUUAAUGGAUAGAGCAUCGGCCUGUGGGCUGAAGGGUCCCAGGUUCAAUUCCAGGUAAGGGCA